rnacentral:piRNA from 1 species
UGGUAGAGCACAACCCCCAAGGUCCAGAGA